GUUUGAUCCUGGCUCAGGACGAACGCUGGCGGCGUGCCUAACACAUGCAAGUUGAACGGAGUUGAAAGGAGCUUGCUUUUUUCAACUCAGUGGCGGACGGGUGAGUAACGCGUGAGUAACCUGCCUUUCAGAGGGGGAUAACGUUCUGAAAAGAACGCUAAUACCGCAUAAGCCCACGGGUCGGCAUCGACCAGAGGGAAAAGGAGCAAUCCGCUUUGAGAUGGCCUCGCGUCCGAUUAGCUAGUUGGUGAGGUAAUGGCCCACCAAGGCAACGAUCGGUAGCCGGACUGAGAGGUUGAACGGCCACAUUGGGACUGAGACACGGCCCAGACUCCUACGGGAGGCAGCAGUGGGGAAUAUUGCACAAUGGGGGAAACCCUGAUGCAGCGACGCCGCGUGGAGGAAGAAGGUCUUCGGAUUGUAAACUCCUGUUGUUGGGGAAGAUAAUGACGGUACCCAACAAGGAAGUGACGGCUAACUACGUGCCAGCAGCCGCGGUAAAACGUAGGUCACAAGCGUUGUCCGGAAUUACUGGGUGUAAAGGGAGCGCAGGCGGGCGAUCAAGUUGGAAGUGAAAUCCAUGGGCUCAACCCAUGAACUGCUUUCAAAACUGGUCGUCUUGAGUAGUGCAGAGGUAGGCGGAAUUCCCGGUGUAGCGGUGGAAUGCGUAGAUAUCGGGAGGAACACCAGUGGCGAAGGCGGCCUACUGGGCACCAACUGACGCUGAGGCUCGAAAGUGUGGGUAGCAAACAGGAUUAGAUACCCUGGUAGUCCACACCGUAAACGAUGAUUACUAGGUGUUGGGAGAUUGACCCUCUCAGUGCCGCAGUUAACACAAUAAGUAAUCCACCUGGGGAGUACGACCGCAAGGUUGAAACUCAAAGGAAUUGACGGGGGCCCGCACAAGCAGUGGAGUAUGUGGUUUAAUUCGACGCAACGCGAAGAACCUUACCAAGUCUUGACAUCCUCUGACGAACGUAGAAAUACGUUUUCUCUUCGGAGCAGAGAGACAGGUGGUGCAUGGUUGUCGUCAGCUCGUGUCGUGAGAUGUUGGGUUAAGUCCCGCAACGAGCGCAACCCCUAUUGUUAGUUGCUACGCAAGAGCACUCUAGCGAGACUGCCGUUGACAAAACGGAGGAAGGCGGGGACGACGUCAAAUCAUCAUGCCCCUUAUGUCCCGGGCUACACACGUAAUACAAUGGCGGUCAACAGAGGGAAGCAAAGCCGCGAGGCAGAGCAAACCCCUAAAAGCCGUCUCAGUUCGGAUUGCAGGCUGCAACUCGCCUGCAUGAAGUUGGAAUUGCUAGUAAUCGUGGAUCAGCAUGCCACGGUGAAUACGUUCCCGGGCCUUGUGCACACACCGCCCGUCA
rnacentral:rRNA from 1 species